CAGGGGGUAGUUUAAGUAGAAUUUCAGCUUUGGGUGCUGAUGGUGGGGCUUUGGGCCUCCUCCUUGA
rnacentral:tRNA from 1 species